rnacentral:other from 1 species
GAAGUCCUGUGGUGUUCGUAGCACACUAUACGUUUUGAGCCAACAUUUUUAACUUGGGAGCCUGCCGUUUCAAUAGGAAGUACACGCCUCGGAAGCUGAGGACUUUACGGAGUAUUGAACAAGGCACCCACCUGUGAGAGCAGGCUUCAAAACUUGGUGUUUAUAUACGGCACAACGGGACGACA